UUUUAAUCUUAGGGUUUUAUACCCAAACCAAAACUACAGAUUUUCUGUUCGCUUUUUUUUUUUUAUAUUUUUAUUAUUGUAAUCUGGAAGUAAAAGCAGACGGAUUGUUCUUCGUGCUUCGGAUUGAAAAGAUGGGUUCGGGAUGCGCAAAGCUUUGCAGUUCUUGCGGUCUGCAAAUCCCGAGAGAACUGUGUCAAUGAGCGGCGGGGCGCUUCAAUUCGCAUCACGUUGGAGGCUUGGAGCUCUGCUUGGUUCUAGAAUUCGCAAAAAUCUUAUUUGGUGUUGCGCAGUCUCUAGAUUGAAUAUCUGGAGUUGCGCGAAUUGGCUUCGUGUCAUGGCCGGCAUGGAGAUAGAUUCGCCACCGGAGCGGGAUAACUUGCUUCCCCCCCGCGAUCGUAUCGUCCAGAGACUUGCGUUUCAUGGCAUUCCACAAGUGCAUCUUCAACAAUUUCAGCUGAGUCUGGUUGCUUUUGUCAGGGAUAACAAAUGCAUGUUAUCUGAAAUUGUAUCAUCCAUCUUGCCAACUAGUUUGGACUUGAGCGAGGCUCAGAUGCUGCAAAACAGAGAACUUGCUGGAGUAAAUGUGAAAUUUACAGUAAAGGAAUUAUUUGAGGAAAGCAUUUUGUGGUUGCAAUGGUUAAUGUUUGAUGGUGAUCCACAAGAAUACAUGAGUAGCUUGGCACAAAGUGCUGAAGGCCAACGUGCAGUAUGCGGAGCUGUUUGGGGUCAAAAUGACUUGGCAUACCGUUGCCGCACAUGCGAGCAUGAUCCAACUUGUGCAAUCUGUGUUCCUUGUUUUCAGAAUGGCAAUCACAAGGAUCAUGAUUAUAACAUUAUGUAUACUGGCGGUGGAUGUUGUGAUUGUGGUGAUGAGACUGCUUGGAAAAAAGAGGGCUUUUGUUCUGAGCAUAAAGGUACCGAACAGAUCCGACCCCUACCACAAGAGUUGGCAAAUUCUAUAGGUCCCGUCCUUGAUCCUCUUCUUUUGUGCUGGAAGAAGAAGCUUCUGUCUGUAGAACACAGGCAUGAUGAAGAGGCUGAUCACGGUGAUGCAUGCAAGAAAGCUGCAGAUGGAUUAUCUUCUGCAAUCAUUCAAAUGUUGAUAGACUUCUGCAAUUGUAGCGAAAGUCUGCUCAGUUUUAUCUCUAGAAGACUGAUGUCAUGCUCUGGUUUACUCGAUGUUCUUUUAAAGGCGGACAAGCACUUGGAUAAGGAAGUUGUGAAGAGGUUACGUGAGUUGCUUUUAAAACUUCUUGGGGACCCUCUUUUUAAAUAUGAUUUUGCAAAGGUUUUCAUACAAUACUACCCGACUAUUGUAAAUGAAAUGAUCAAAUAUUCUAGUGAUUCAUACUCGGAGAGAGAUCCGAUGCUAGCAACUUUCUCUGUGCAAAUAUUUACAGUACCAACUUUAACUAUGCGACUUGUAACUGAGGUAGAUCUGCUGUCUGUUCUUCUCGGAUGCUUGAAGGACCUUUUCCUUUCCUGUGCUGAUGCAAAUGGUCAUCUACAGUUUAGUAAAUGGGGCAACAUGUAUGAAACAAUUCGUUUGAUUGAAGAUUUUCGCUAUGUCAUGAGUCACCAAGAAGUUCCUGCUUAUAUUGUUUGUAAAAGGCCAGAUAUCUCGAAAAAAUGGAUUUUUCUAUUAAGACUUGUACAGGGCAUGGAUGCGCUGAAGAGAGUAACUGUUCUUCACUCAGAGGAGGAAAAUGAAAAUCUUUUUGCACCUUUUGCUCUUGGGCAAUGUCUAUCGAAUGUUAAUUCACUUUUGGUAGGAGGGGCUUUUUACAAUGACAAAAAUGGAUGCUUAGAUAAGCAAGAUCUAGUUGAUAUUGACAGGCAACGUCAUGCCAAAGUGGGAAGGGUUUCUCAAGAAAGUUCAGCAAGCAGGACGGGUGCUUUGGAGGAUUUAAUUUUUAAUGAAACACGUUUUGUUGGGGAAAAUGGUACGUCUUUUCCCUCUUCUGUUGUAUGGCUGAUUUCUGAAUGCCUGAAAGCCAUCGAAUGUUGGUUGAGACCAGAGAUUGAAUCCUUAUGCUAUUCAUCAUCUUUUGGUGUAGCCACCACCAGUGCGUCUAAUAUAUCAUCUGCAAGAAAGAAAUUGUUUAAGGUCAGGAAAGGACCAAAUAGCAUAAAUGGAACUUCUAUGACCAGGAUGGAUAUGGAUGGAGAGGAAAUUCCUUUUACUAGUGGUGGCAAUGUGAGUUUUGGGAGUGCUGGUAUGCCAGAAGCUGAAGGAGAUAUUAGUGAGACCAAUGAAUUGUUUCCUGGGAAUAGUUAUAGCACCAGAGUUUCAGAUGAUACUCUAAUGGAGGUAGAGUAUGGAAGGGAGUCGGCAACAUUUAGCAUAUUGAACAUGACUGAUUGGCCUGCUAUCAAUUUUGACGUUGGUUCACAAGCAAUAUCUUUUCACAUUCCUUUGCAUCGUUUACUUUCUUUAUUGUUGCGAAAAGCAUUGAAAGCUUGUGAUUUAAUUGAACUACCGGGCAAGACAAAUGGUGCUACAACUACUAUUCCUAUUCAUAAUCAUGAAUUCUUCAGAAAAGCUUUGGCUGGGUUACAUCCUUGUGGUUUUUCAGGCUUUAUUAUGGAACAUCCUCUUCAAUUGAUGGUAUUUUGUGCUCAAGUUCGUGCUGGCAUGUGGAGAAAGAAUAGUGAUGCUCCCAUUUUGUGUUCUCAGUGGUUGGAACAAGGUCUGGAAUCUGAUCUGUUUUUGUUGCAAUGUUGUGCUGCAUUAGCUCCUCCUGAUUCUUUUGUUGAGAGUGUGCUGGAAAGAUAUGGAUUAUCAAAUUAUAUGUCCUUAAAUCUUGCAGAAUAUGAUGAGUAUGAAUCCGUCCUAGUACAAGAAAUGCUUACUCUAUUCAUACGCAUUGUUAAAGAACGUAGAUUUUGUGGGUCAUCUACGGCUGCAAAUCUACAGAGAGAAUUGGUUUAUAGGUUGGCUAUUGGUGAUGCAACUCAUAGCCAGCUAGUUAAAUCUCUGCCUCGGGAUCUGUCUAAGAGUGAUAAACUCCAAAAUGCUGUUGACCUGCUUGCAGUAUACAGCAAUCCAUCUGGAAUGAAGCAGGGAAAGUAUUCACUACGAAAAGCAUAUUGGAAAGAACUGGACCUGUAUCAUCCUCGUUGGGGCUCAAGAGAUCUACAAGUUGCGGAGGAGAGAUUCUUCCGUUUCUGUAAAGUGUCUGCCUUGAAUGCUCAGCUACCGAGAUGGACUCCUAUUUUUGAGCCUCUAUUUUGUGUAUGUAGAAUAGCUACAUCAAAAAUGGUUCUCCAAAUUGUUCGGGUUGUUUUUUUUUAUGCCUGUUUUUCCGAGAGAUCAUCCAUUUCCCGAGCUCCAGACGCAGUGCUCAUUACAGCAUUGCACUUGGUUUCCUUAGCAUUAAAUAUCUGUGAAACACAACUUUCCCUUACUGAUGAUCCUCCUCCAAUACUAACCAGUGCUAGUGAAGAAUUUGAUUUGGGUUCCUGCAGUGUAUCUGUGCUCUGGAAAAAUCAAAGCAUGCUAUCAUUGUUAGUUUCCUUAAUGAGGAAAUACAAGGAACAAACUGAUGAUGUGUAUUCUGAGACAAGCCAAUGUAACAUUUCUUCUUUGAUUGAGGCUUUACUGAAGAAGUUUGCACAGUUAAAUGCUAAUUGUAUGUCUGAGCUCCAGCGUUUGGCUCCUAGUGUAAUCUGUAAUGAGCCACAAGUCAAUUGUGCUAAUCAGAGUUUGGCAUUGAACACUGACAUAGAUGAGAGAAAAUUAAAAGCACGGCAGCGUCAGGCGGCCAUAUUGGAAAAAAUGAAAGCAGAGCAGUCCAAAUUUAUUGAAAGUCUUAGCUCCAAUAACAUUGAGCAAGAAUCGUACAAGAAGAAGGAAUCUUUUGAGAAAGUUGAAGUUAGAGAACAGUCAUUACCUGUUUGCUCUCUGUGCCAUGAUCCUGAUUCUUCAAGUCCAUUAUGUUUACUGAUUCUUCUCCAGAAAUCUAAGUUAACUAGUUUUGUAGACCGAGGUCCCCCAAUUUGGGAAGAUGCAGAGCAGUUACGCAGGGAGGUCAGUUCAGCUGGGAAGCUAAAGUCAGUUGAUUCUUCUGGCCCCUGCACAUUCAUUCCACUUCAGUUGUCCCAGAUCGCAGGUCCUGAAGUUGAUCAUGAUGUUGAGCCCAUAGAAAUCGAUACAUUUUUUAAUUUCAUUAGAGACCAGAUUCCUGAUAUUGGAAACUUUCAACUACCUAAGGUUUCACAGGAUAAUGCCAAAGAUCCUUCCUUUUGCCUUGAACUGAUGGAAAAUUAUCUUUUCCAUUCUAUCAUGGAAGAUGUACAUGAAAGCCAGUCUUAUUCACAUUCUACAACUGGUGAACAGAACUCAACUUCUGUUGUAGAUUCCAAUAUAACUAGAGAUUCGGGUUCUGUGCUGCAGGAAUAUGUUGCUUGUCUAUCAAGAAUAUCUUCUAAGCAACAAAGCUCUUCUUUGUAUGAUAUUUUGCAUCAUGGCAAUCUCUCAUCAAAAUCUAAGGGCACAGUUGCUAGAGUUAUUAGAUUUGGUCCUAAAGAUUGUGAUGGAAUUCACAUUUCCUCUUGCGGGCAUGCUGUGCAUCAGGACUGUCAUGAGAGAUAUUUAGGAUCAUUAAAGCAAAGGAACAUAAGGAGGCUUGGAUUUGAAGGAGGGCAUAUCAUUGACCCCGAUCUGGGGGAAUUGCUUUGCCCCGUAUGCCGCAGAUUUGCAAAUUCAGUCCUUCCCGCUGUGCCUUGCCCUGCUGAUAAAUAUGGGAAGAGUGUGGAAGCCUCUCCCAAAAUUGCAGGAGUGAGUAACGUCUCCCAGCUUCCCCUGGCAUUAUCUCUUCUUCACAGUGCGGGCCAAAAGGCUGGACAUGGGAGAUUCCUUAAAAAUUCUUUUGGCAAACUGAGAGAAACUAUUAAACCAGCUUUGGAGCCUUCGCUGCACAAAUUGUAUACACUAUAUUAUCCAUAUAAUUAUAAUGAUUUAUCAUCUUCUGGAAGGGUCAGUCAAUCAUUAGUGCUAUGGGACACCCUCAGGUAUUCCCUUGUAUCGACAGAAAUUGCUGCUCGUGGAAGGGUGAGGGCAUCAACUGCUAAUUCUACUUUGAAAUCUUUAUAUGGCGAGCUUCAUUCUUCUAGUGGAUUUAUAUUGCCAUCGCUGCUUAAUGUUGCUAAAAGCACUUGUAGUUCGAAUUCGAUUGAAGUGCUCCUUAGGUUUAGAGGCAUUCAACUUUUGUCAAAAUCUAUUUGUUUUGGCGUGUCAGAGGAUAGCAAUUUGUCAAAUUCCGACAAGCGAAGAGGGUCAUUAAAACUGGAGCAUACUGAAAGUGGAGAAUCCUUUCCAGAUAUUCAAUUUUGGAAGAGAGCUACUGAUCCAAUCCUUGCUCACGAUCCAUUUUCUUCAUUAAUGUGGGUUCUAUUUUGUCUUCCAUCUUCUUUUAUGCAAUCCAAUGAAUUCUUUAUCCCUCUGGUUCAUCUCUUCUAUGUCGUUUCUCUUAUUCAGUCUCUCAUUACAUGCUAUUGCAAAGAUUUUUUUGAUGCAUCACAUUUCUGUGAUUCUCUUCUCUGUGAUUUGUGCAAAGUGUUGGGGAAAUCUUCACGAGUGAAGAAAUACUUUGUUUCAAACUAUAUUGAUCCUUCCUGUCAUCCGAAAGAUAUGAUUCGUAGGUUAACAUUUCCUUUUCUUAGACGAUGUGCAUUACUCUGGAAGUUACUACAGUCAUCAAACACAGCUAUUUUUAAUACUUCAAAUAUCUGGGAAGGAUUAAAUCCACAUGCAAAGACUGAUACAUUGGAGGUUGACAAUGCUAAUUACUUUAGAAUGGAGCUUGAUGGAAUAAAGGAGUUGGAGGAUUUAUUUCAUGUUUCAUCAUUUGAAUUGAUUCUUAAGGAUGAAGUUGUGAAUUCCUUGGCUUUGAAAUGGUGCAAACACUUUUGUGAUGAAUUGAAGACGGAGAGAUCUUGGGGCAUCUUAUAUUAUACUCCUGCAGUACCAUUUAAGUUGAUGCAGUUACCAAGGAUCUACCAACAUCUUUUGCAGAGGUAUGUUAAAGUUAAGUGUUCUGAAUGCAAAUCUAUUUCAGAGGAACCUGCUCUUUGCUUGCUUUGUGGAAAGCUAUGUUCUCCAAGCUGGAAAUCCUGUUGCAGGGCAAGUAGAUGCUUAAACCAUGCAAUUUCUUGUGGUGCUGGCAUUGGCGUGUUUUUGUUGGUCCGGAAAACUACGAUUUUACUUCAGCGGUGUUCAAGGCAAGCUUUUUGGCCGCCUCCUUAUUUAGAUGCCUUUGGGGAAGAGGACAUUGAUGUGUGCCGAGGAAAACCAUUGUUCUUAAACACUGAACGCUAUGCUGCGCUUACUUAUUUGGUGGCUUCUCAUGGUCUUGACCGGACUUCUGAAGUUCUUCGGCAGACAACAAUUAGUGUUUUUGGCUCUGAUUAAAUUUCUUGAAGAUUUUUGCAUUGAAGGCAGGUGUGGACCCAGGUAGGGUCCAGGGGGGCAAUUGCCCCUCCUUAAUUUGGCUUUUUGCCCCUCCUGAAAUAUCAGUUUUGCCCCUACUGAAAUAUUACUUUACCUUUUGUUGCCCUAGCCCCUCCCACGUUGGGUCUAGGGGGACAGUUGCCACUCCACCCACCCCGAAAAAGAGGCUGGUUCCGCCCCUGUGUUCAGGUUAAGAAUUGGAGUCUAAAAAAUAGUGGAAAACCAAUUCAGGUUAGUCCAAGGGGAAGAAUAUAUGAUUCUGAACUCCAACUGUUCGUCCUCCAACUGUUCGUUCUGGUUUUUAAAUUCAAAUGUGUAGUCUUUUUUGUGUUCAAAUGCCAUCCAUCUUCACAAUCCUCCAUCUGUCUCGUUCUGUGCCUGCAUAUUUUAACUCAACGUAUCUAUUUAAAUAUUUGUAAGGUGCUAUGCUUCCUUUGUACAUAUAUAAAAUGUCAAUAUAAGUGAACAUUUUAUUGAAUUCAUUCCUCUUUUCAUGAUCUGCAACUCUUCUCUGGUUAUUAUGCUUUUCUUCAGAUCUUCAU